rnacentral:rRNA from 1 species
UAACGGCGAGUGAAGCGGCAAAAGCUCAAAUUUGAAAUCUGGCACCUUCGGUGUCCGAGUUGUAAUUUGAAGAAGGUAACUUUGGGAUUGGCUCUUGUCUAAGUUCCUUGGAACAGGACGUCACAGAGGGUGAGAAUCCCGUGCGAUGAGAUGACCAAUCCUAUGUAAAGUGCUUUCGAAGAGUCGAGUUGUUUGGGAAUGCAGCUCUAAGUGGGUGGUAAAUUCCAUCUAAAGCUAAAUAUUGGCGAGAGACCGAUAGCGAACAAGUACAGUGAUGGAAAGAUGAAAAGAACUUUGAAAAGAGAGUGAA